GAUGUUUCCAGAGAACACCAGCAUGUGAUACAGCAAGCAGAGCAAAGACCUGCCCGGAUGUGGGUAGCACUUUCUGAUGGGAGAAGGCCUAAAUGGACCAAAAACAGAAGGAGGAGGAAACCCACCAGCACAUGCUCUCUUCCCUCUGCUUGCUUCUUGGCUGCCAUUAGGAAUUCAAAACAAAACUAUACAUCAGCAAAAGAUUUUCAAAAACUGCUGCAUAAAUGAAGAAAGAAAUACUUUCACGUACUUUGCAUGGGAAUCUUGUCUUUCAAUGCAGAGUACUUAGUCUCCACAUGGCAAUGCAUUUUGGAAGAUUUCCUGGCCAUACUGGAUGGCUGGUCACCACCUAUACUAUACGUUUGGAGAACAUUAAUCACCCAGUGCAAUGAUUCAUUAUGUAGGUAAGACUCUUGGUGGGUUUUUUUCCAAAUUUUUUCUUUGACAAUACCAGAGUCUCUUGCUAUUUCAUUAUUCAGCCUUCCAUGAGUUCUAAAACUCUUCAGUGAUUUUCUAAAAUUAAUUUUGGUUAUGGUUAGUUAUGGUUUUGCCAAAACUGUGACUGUGACCUAUGUACAGUGUGGAAACAGGGAGCUGAUGAAGGUGGUAAACAAAAUA